AGAGGUUUGGGAUCAUGGGGCUCAGAACGAACGCUGGCGGCGUGGAUUAGGCAUGCAAGUCGAACGAGGAUAUAUCCUUCGGGAUAUAAACCGAGUGGCGGAAGGGUGAGUAAUGCACAGACAACCUGCCUUUAGGAUAAGAAUAACUCUGUGAAAGCGGAGCUAAUACUUAAUAAUACAAAGAAAAGGUACUUUUCUUUGUCAAAAAAGGGUAUUUAUACCUUUUGCCUAGAGAGGGGUUUAUGUCCUAUCAGCUUGUUGGUGGGGUAACGGCCUACCAAGGCGAAGACGGGUAACCGGCCUUAGAGGGUAGUCGGUCACACUGGAACUGAGACACUGUCCAGACUUCUACGGAAGGCUGCAGUCGAGAAUCUUUCGCAAUGCCCGAAAGGGUGACGAAGCGACGCCGCGUGGAUGAAGAAGGCCUUCGGGUUGUAAAACCCUGUCAGGAGUUAAGAAAUAUAAGUUUGAUAAUACCAAAUUUAUUUGACAAAGGCUCCAGAGGAGCCACGGCUAACUCUGUGCCAGCAGCCGCGGUAAUACAGAGGUGGCAAGCGUUGUUCGGAAUUAUUGGGCGUAAAGAGCACGUAGGUGGAUUUGUUAGUCAGAUGUGAAAGCCUUUCGUUCAACGGAAGAAUUGCAUCUGAAACUGCAAACCUUGAGUAUAGGAGGGGAGAGUGGAACUUCUGGUGGAGCGGUGAAAUGCGUAGAUAUCAGAAGGAACGCCGGCGGCGAAAGCGACUCUCUGGCUAUAACUGACACUGA
rnacentral:rRNA from 1 species